rnacentral:lncRNA from 1 species
GUGUAUUUUGAGGAUGUACUUUGAAGCACAUAUACUUACUUACAUACUGAAAGCUAGAAUUGUGUGCUCAUUAAGCAGAUAGAGAGAGAGAGAGAAUUAUAUGAACUUUGCAUGAUUGCAUGAGGUAAAACAUAAAAGACCAGGUCUUUUAUUUCCCCUUUGUUGGCAGGGUUAUAUAAAAUCAAAAACCAGUCUAUAGUACAGUGAUGUCAAGUGGGCAGGCUUGCAGGGAAAAUUGGGUACAAUUGAGUAAUCAACCCCUUCUAUAGUUUUUGACCCAGAUCCCUGAAACUAGGGAACUUUUUGUAUAAAGAAUUUCUUCCCAGUUUUCUGGACUUUAGAACUAAUUAGUCAUUUUUCAGUAAACUUAAGAAAGGAAAGUACAAGUUCUAUGUAAUCCUACAGUUUUCAACCAAGAUCCCGGAAAUUUUACAGGAAGCUUGCACACAUGUGCACUUGCUAUUAUGGAAUUGUUCGAAGAAUUUUUUCCCAGUUUUCCAGUCUUGGGAACUUAGACAUUUUUUAGCAAAAUUAAAAAAGGAAGGUAAAGUUUUGUGUAAUCAACUCCUCCAACAGCUUUCAACCCAGAUCCUUGAAAUUUAAUAGGAACAUUGUACACAUGUUGAUGUUGUGUACCUACUAAUAUCAAAUUUUUCCAGACUUUGGAACUUAGUCAUUUUUAGCAAAAUUUACAAAGAAGUGAUUAAGUCUUGUGUACUCGACUCCUCCUACAGUUUUCAACCCAAAUCAAUGAUACUUAACAGAAAGAUUGUACACCUGUUGAAGUUAUGCACCUGCUUUUAUGGAAUAGUUUGAAGAAUUUUUACACUUUUUCUUGACUGGGGAACUUUUGUUAUUAGCUUCUCGUACAGUUAACAAUUAAGAUCCUUUUCAAACAUUACAAAAACAAACCCGGCCAAUUGAGACUCUUAACUUAUUUUUUUACAAUUUUUUAAUG